CGAGGCUCCACCUCUCCGCUCCGCUCCAGCGCUACGCCGCCACCGCGAGGCGCCAGGCAACGCGCCCGGUGGGGACCCGGGGGACUUGGCGCACCUGCUGCGCACGCCUGGCGCUUCCCGCGCCGCGUGACCUUAAGAUUAAAAAUAAACAGAAUCGACUACUGCCUGUCGUCGUCAUCCUUAUCCACAUAAUCUCAGCACUGAAAGUGCAGAGAACACUGACCCCUGCAUAACAUGACUUACCAUGCAAACACCCGAUGAAGUGUAAUGUCCAGAUUAAGUAAGACUAUAGCUUAUUUAAGGCUAACAGAAACCACAGGAAGCAAAAACAUUGCCAGGCGAGGUGGUGCACACCUGUAACCCAGCACUGGGGAGGUGGAGGCAGUCAGAUCUCUGUGUGCUCGAGGCCAGCCUCAGUCAGAGAGCUCCAGGACAGCCAGAGCUUCAGAGUGAUACCCUAUCAACAAAUGAACAAACAAUGAACGAACAAACAAACAACGUGGCUCCUUGACUAAAGGGAGACUCUGGAGUAUUUCCUGUUACUGAGCUGGAUCGAGUGAGACAUAAGGGAUGUGGAGUAAAAUUCACCUCUUCUUGGUGUGUACUUGUGUGAAUUCUGACAGAUGCAAACAGCUGUGCAACCACUGUCACCACAAUCUAAUGUGUGUUUUUAUUUCCUGCAAGACUUCCUUCACGGCUUCUAUAACUAGUUUUCCUUUGCUCCCUUCCUAAGCCUGGAGCAGCUACUGAUGUAUUUCUUUAACUAGCCCUUUGCCUUUGCAAAAUGUGACGUAACUAGAAUCUGCUAUCUUCAUUUAGAAUAAAAAUUUUG